rnacentral:rRNA from 1 species
GCAAGUCGAACGGUAACAGCGAGAGCUUGCUCUCGGCUGACGAGUGGCGGACGGGUGCGUAACGCGUGGGAACUUACCUUGUAGUGGGGGAUAGCCCGGAGAAAUCCGGAUUAAUACCGCAUAAUCUCUACGGAGCAAAGUGGGGGAUCUUCGGACCUCACGCUAUUAGAUAGGCCCGCGUUAGAUUAGCUUGUUGGUGAGGUAAUGGCUCACCAAGGCAACGAUCUAUAGCUGGUUUGAGAGGAUGAUC